GAUGGUGCCCAGAAACAGAAGGAAGAUUAUUAUCAGAAACUGCAGACGCUUGAAACUCAGUUUUCUGUUCUGAAGAAGAAACAAGAAGCACAGUCUCAGCUUUUGAGACAAAGGCAGAAAAGUGAUGAUGUGGCAGGAAAAUUGCAGGAUGAAA